GACGAACGCUGGCGGCGUGCUUAACACAUGCAAGUCGAGCGGUAAGGCCCUUUCGGGGGUACACGAGCGGCGAACGGGUGAGUAACACGUGGGUGACCUGCCCUCAGCUCUGGGAUAAGCCCGGGAAACUGGGUCUAAUACCGGAUAUGACUUCAUGACGCAUGUUGUGGAGUGGAAAGCCUUGUGCGGCUGAGGAUGGGCCCGCGGCCUAUCAGCUUGUUGGUGGGGGAUGGCCUACCAAGGCGACGACGGGUAGCCGGCCUGAGAGGGCGACCGGCCACACUGGGACUGAGACACGGCCCAGACUCCUACGGGAGGCAGCAGUGGGAAUCUUGCGCAAUGGGCGAAAGCCUGACGCAGCGACGCCGCGUGAGGAUGACGGCCUGGUGU
rnacentral:rRNA from 1 species